AACCAGCACCUCAAGUGGUCAGGAUGAUUAUUGGGCCUAAAGCAUCCGUAGCCUGUUUUGUCAGUCUUCGGUUAAAUCCAUCAACUCAAGACAUGGGCUGCCGGAGAUACUGCAGAGCUAGGGAAUGGGAGAGGUAGACGGUACUCGGUAGGAAGGGGUAAAAUCCUUUGAUCUAUUGAUGACCACCUGUGGCGAAGGCGGUCUACCAGAACACGUUCGACGGUGAGGGAUGAAAGCUGGGGGAGCAAACCGG
rnacentral:rRNA from 1 species